rnacentral:sRNA from 1 species
UUUUUUUUACUUUUUU